ACAUUAGCUAGUUAGGCGCCAGGUAGGUUAGCUGGCUAGAGCUAGCUAGCUAACGCGUUAGAUAGUAUGAUUUGAAAAUGCCAGUGGUGGGGAAGUAACGUUAGGUAGCGUUGAUGAUACAUAAUCAGUUUAAAGUAAUUCAUGAGAGCUGGAAAUUAAAUGCAGGCAAGCUAAGCUCUGGGAGCGUGCGUAACGUAUGAAGGUGACUGGAGUCAGAUUUAUCUCUGCUGGAGUGGACAAGUGUGCACUGUCGCCUGGGCUGAGGGUUCACGCAGCCUGACUGAAGGAUGUUGGUGCUCUAGACAGAAGGCCAGUGGUUAAAGUCACUUUGAGUCAUGGUAUGUAGAACAUCUUCGUUCCUACGAGCUAUCAUCUACACAAGUUAGCCUGUCUGUACAAUUGCAAUCUGAGCUCAACGACACUGUCACCUUUUCUGCAUACAACAUUGAUGGCUAGCUGCUGUUGACCCCCAAGAGGUUCAUUUGAGUGAGACAGAGUUUAACAUUUAUGACAAGCGAGAGCUUGGUGACUCACCGGUAGCCCUGCUGACAAUGGUUGGUGACAACACGGAAAAUCCAGUCCACUACAAUCCGGUCAAGAUCUGUCGUCCUGGAGAGUGAAGUUGUGGUGAUUGACCUCCCCAGACUGCUGGAUGCUUUCCUGGUAAUGUUUGGUCUGAUCUAUGCUCUACAUCUCAGUUAUCUGAAAGAACUGUCCAACACGUUCGAGUUCAUUCAGAAAAUCCUGCUAGGUUUAGAAGAUGGGAAACUGAAGCCAAGGCUACAGGCUCUGAAUAAUUAUUUAAUGAUACAUGUGUAGGCAUUGCCCAAAUGCCUACCACAAGCUGAUAACACUCUAUGUUUUUGUUUCAACAUAUCGAGAUGU